rnacentral:lncRNA from 1 species
AGAAAUUCAUAUACAACAAAAUGAAAUUAAAGCCCUAUCUCUAACCAUGAACAAAACUCAACUCAAAGUGAAUGAAGGACCUAGGAAUUAAACGAGAGACCCUGCAUCUAGUAGAAGAAAAAGUAGGCCCAAAUCUCCACUAUAUCGGAUUAGGUCCUUACUUCCUUAACAAGACUCCUAUAGUGCAAGAAUUAAAGUCAAGAAUUAACAAAUGGGAUGGAUUCAUACUAAAAAUCUUUUUCUCAGCAAAAGAAACAAUCUGUGAGAUGAAUAGAGAGCCUACGGCUCAGGAACAAAUUUUUACCACUUGCACAUUACAUAGAGCACUAAUCUCUAGGGUAUAUAAAGAACUCAAAAAGCUAAAUACCAAAAAAAACAAAUAGCCCAAUCAAUAAAUGGGCCAAGGAACUGAACAGACACUUCUCAGAAGGUGAUGUACAAUCAAUCAACAAAUAUAUGAAAAAAUGUUCAUCAUCGCUAACAAUUAAAGAAAUGCAAAUCAAAACCUCUCUAAGAUUUCAUCUCACUCCAGUCAGAAUGGCAGCUAUUAUGAAGACAAACAACAAUAAGUGUUGGCAAGGAUGUGGGGAAAAAGGCACACUCAUACAUUGCUGGUGGGACUGCAAAUUGGUGCAGCCAAUAUGGAAAGCAGUAUGGAGAUUCCUUGGAAAACUUGGAAUGGAACCACCAUUUGACCCAGCUAUCCCUCUCCUUGGUCUAUACCCAAAGGACUUAAAAACAGCAUACUACAGGGACAUAGCCACAUCAAUGUUUAUAGCAGCACAAUUCACCAUAGCUAAACUGUGGAACCAACCUAGAUACCCUUCAAUAGAUGAAUGAAUAAUGAAAAUGUGAUAUAUAUACACAAUGGAAUAUUACUCAGCAAUAAAAAAUAAUAAAAUCAUGGCAUUUGCAGGUAAAUGGAUGAGUUAGAGAAUAUAAUGCUAAGUGAAGUUAGCCAAUCCUAAAAAAACAAAUGCCAAAUGUUUUUUUUCUGAUAUAAGGAGCAUAGGAGAAAUAGACGAACUCUAGACAGAGCAAAAGGGAGGGAGGGAAAGGGAGGAGAC